rnacentral:lncRNA from 1 species
GAGGAACACGUCCAACGUGAAUUAACCCUAAAGGAGAUGGAUCUCAUGGUUUGGUGCAGUCUCAGCACAAAUCAGGAACAGAGGUGCUGGAGGUUUUGGGUUCCCGAUGAAUUUUGAGCCGAAGAGCAAGGAGACGAUCUCCAAUGAUGUGAAACCGCUCCCAAAUCCACCGCCUCUCUUCCCUCUCCAAGUCCCUAAUCUCCAGUCUGGAAGCGCGAGAUAGUCGGCCACACUCUCAGAAAGCCCUCGGUCAACAUAGCUCAGCAGGAAUGGUUCGAUAUGCUGCCGCCGCGGACCUACGACGAGGAGUACUUGCUCAACAAGCACUCCAGGCUCGGCGUCCUCUCUAAUGAGCUCCAAGCCCUGGGACAUUCCGUAAGAUUUUUUUUUUUUUUUGAAUAAUGUGUUGAAUUGAAGAGGAAUUGAAUGGAGGCUAGGGCUUAAUUGUGUUGCUUUUGGUGUUGGAGACUUGGUCGUUGCAUUUCAAUUGGAUGAUGGUUAAGUAGUUUGAGUUGAUAGGAUUGCUUGGUCUUCGUAUCUGUUAAUAACUCCUAGUUAUGAGGAGCUUGUUAUUUACUAGUUAGAGUUUGAGCUAUUCUUUAGUUGAGUCGACCACAGUCUUAGGGUUGUAAAGAUGUGGUUUGUUUUGAAUUUCUUAUCCUUCUGUAAUGGCUAUAUAAGCCGUAGUUGUUUCUUGAAUUGAAUAAGAAUCAUCCAUCAAAAGCUUGAGAGUUAUUUGUUUCUAGGAUUUGGUUUUUCAACAUUUGGAUAUUAUAAUUGUGUUGCUUGCUCUGGUGGCUUCUUGUGAACCAGUUUUUUUUGUUAUGUGCUUGUGGUUCAAUUUCACGAUUUGGUUAUAGUGUUUAAUUUCUUUCUGCUUCUUCAGGUGCUUUUAUUUGCUUAGGUCAUGUUACUUGAAAGCAUAUAUGUUCAUGAAUUCAUUAGAUCCUGGGGAACUUAUUAUGGUUGUUCAGAGAUUACUUUACUCGGGUAAUAUAAUUGAGUUCUCAUUAUUUUGCUGCGGAACCAAGUCUCACAUAUAUACUUGUAUGAAGGCUGGCAGUAUUGAAAUCCGGUUAACGUGUAUAGGAAAUGUGGGGGGUUGUGUUUUUUGACAUUGAAACCGGAGACCAUUGGUAUUGAAAAUGGACCUGAAGGUUAACUGAUGGCUUGCCCUGAUCUUUUAUAUUUGAUACAAAUAGGUAGACCCUUUGGUGGCAGCCAUCAAUCUAGUUUAGUAAUGUGUUUGGAUAUAAUUAUAUAUGAUAUUUACCACUGAAAUACCUGAGUUUAAAUGAGUUCUUGAACUGAUUUUGAAAUUUGAGACAACAUGACAUUGCUCUCAUUUGCCGUUAAAGUACAAUAUUUUGUGCAUGAAGUUCUUGUGUACAAAACUAGACUGUACGACUGUAAGCGUUGUUGGUAGAGGGAUCAUAACUGAAAACAAGGUAAGAAAGGUGUUCUUGAAUGUGGUUCAAAAUUCUGAUGGAAAUUGGAAGUUGAAUGGUUGACAUAGUUAAGGUGUACAGUAGCUGCAGAUUUCUCUAUCACUGGAGUAGAAAAUGUUUUCCCUCGGUGGCAUUGAUCGUUUGAUUUCAUCUUCAAAUAUUAUGUUUGCCACAUCUUUAUACACUCUUCUGAUGGAACUUGUAACUCAUGUAAAAGUGGUAUUAACAGCAUCAUGAGUAGAUAAGGAUAGUAAAUAUGUAUCAUCAGCAUUUCCUUUGGCUGCUACUUCUAGUUACAUUUUGGUUGUUGAGUGUAUAGUUUCCGUUUGAAAUCUGUAAAUGCAUUUUUGGUACACUUCUUUAUUGGCAUUUGUAGAAGAAUACAGUGAGUAAUUAGCAAACAUAUGCGUCUUUCUUUUGCAGCAACGUUUUGCCACAAAGGUAACUGUCCCUCUUGAGUGGACAAACACCUGUUGCAGCCAUCCACUAUACCGUGAAUCUGAGCUUAUCGAUGAGGAGUGCCUUGGUAUUUUCACUUCUCUAUGUACCUUAACUUCUUUGGAGAACCAGUUUUAGUUGCCUUGAAGUUACUUAUCUCUGAUUUUUUGUCCCUCAAUUCUCUCCUUCAGGAGUAAGAAAUGCUGCUAAAAGGAAGCUUUUGGAUGAACUGGGCAUCCAUGCUGAAGAUGUGUACAAGGCACCUUCUGACGGAACGUUUAAGGACGGCGAUUGUUUAACGAUGUCGGGAAUAAUUUCUAGAAUUUUUAAUGAUGAACCUCCAAUUUACGGACCUGGUUGUGAAGUACGCCUCGUGAGUGGUCUGUGACAUUUUUCGGUGAAUUUUUUGGGCACCGGAGCUAUUUAGUAUGCAUUUUUGAAGUUUUGGAAUGGUGGAAAAAAAUAAAAGUUUAAUGACAUAGACAGAUAAGCGGCUCUUAACGCGUCACGUGGGUCAAAUCUCACUAUUUAGUCAUUUUUAUUAUGACAUCUUGUCAAAAAUUAUAGUAAAUAGCUCGGAUACUCGAAAAAUUCCGCGAAAAUUACCAAGUGCCUAUUACCACUCCGGAAUCAUAUUAUCGAAUUAGUGUGUUUGAUUCAAUUAAAUACUAAUAUACCUACUAAUGUUGUUUAACUUUGUUACUUGGUUACGUGGACAACAACAUAUUAUACAAUAACAACGUGGAGGAAACGUAGUUUGGCUAAUCACAUUGUUCGAUAGUAUCAAAAAGAGAUAAAACUGCUGCGGUAAAAAAUUUAUCUAUUCAACUAAGUCAACCCUAAGUUCAUAAACACCCAUCAAGAGGAACCAUACCGACAAUACGAGAAAACUCAAAUCGGACUGUGUUAUAAUAAUGUGCACAACAUGAUGAGUUGUGAAAGUUUUCAGGAUGUAUUUCCGACACCCGAGCUAUUUAUAACGGCUUUCUAAAGUAUAAUCAUCUUUUGCCUUUGACACCUUUGACUUCAUGAAGAAACAUUCUCUUACGUGUUGACACAUGUACGUCAUUUUGUCAUUGGCCGAAUUCCUUAGACCGACCUUUCAUUGUCGGUUAUUUUCCCCCCUAUAUGUAGCUGACCCAUCAGCUCUCAUUCCAUGUAUUUCGGAGAGAAUUUUCUCUCUCUCUUCUCAUUUCUUCAUUUUUCUAGAUUUAUGACUUAAAGUUCGACGGAUCAUAACUUUUAAUCCGUAACUCCAAUUCUGAAUCCGCGAAGGGCUACGAAUUCGUAUCGAUACCUUCUUCAUAUCCUAGAGGUUUGAGCUAGAUCCGUAAUGUUUUGACUCCAAUCAAGGCGGUCAACCCUAUUUACUCUUAUUAUUCCUUAUGGGGAGCCCUAUCAUUGAGAGGUUAAAUUUCCCAAAUUUUUAGAUAGGCUGCUACAUCUCAUCUACGUGAGAGUGUGUGUGUGAAAGAAUCUACAAAAAUAAGUCAAGAAGGGGUGGUGAUGUUUUCGUGCAAUUAGUGACGUUGGUUUAAGGUUGACUGAGUGGAUCCAAACUCAAAACGUUAUCGAAAAUUGGUGAAUAAGUCACAUCUCAUCUUCGUGAGAAAAUGUGUACGAAACAAUCGAGAUAAAUAAGUCAUAAAAGUGUAUAGACAAUAUUUAAAGUGUAAUAAGUGACGUUGAUUCGGGAUUGACCAAAUUUUUAGAUGGCCUGUUACUUCUCAUCUACAUGAGUGUGUAAUCACAUUUUCUAAUUCACAGAUGAGAUGAGAUACUAUUCUGGGCACUGGUUGUUAGGCGAUUCAAGUGAUGUAUUAAUGGGAGAAUGAUAGGUUCAACAUCAAUAACUUAGUAAACUCACUGGUGUCUAUAGUUUGAGACAUGCACAUAUAUCUUAUGAGUAGUAUACAUGGAAUUCCAAACACACAAAAUUUCAAGUCAAACAACUACAUAAAUCCUAAUGAAAUGCAAAAUGGAAACAACUGCAAUGCAUAUAACACAAGAGUUUCAGCAAAGAACUCUAAACUUAAGAAAAUCACUAUCUAAAUAUCAAAUAAAACAAAAUUUCUAGAUUAACAAUACACACCUGGAAAUACAACACCACAAAAUUUUAGAUCAAUAGGAGUUACCAAGUCUUGCUGAAAUUCAAUACACACAGCUGCCCCGUGAAAAUUACAUCAACCACCCAUAUUUUACAGAAUUUUACAGUAAAUAAAGGUUCAGGUAUCUUUAGCCAAAUCACAGAUUUUAAGAAGACAGAAUGAAUUUGACACUAAUCCUUUCGCCCAAAAGAGCAGUAGUGCAUUACACUGUAAAUGUUUAUGGUGCACUGCUUCGUCUGUGGUCAAGAUUGUAUGACAACAAUAUCAAUUGGUGUUCAUCAAAAAUAGGUCCUACUCAACCAAAUUACAAUAUCCAGCCCACUGAUCAUAAGCUGGGGAAAAUGGCAUAAAUGCAAGCUACAACAAAUGAAAGCCAAAAUUUGAUCAUUCCCAAGUACGACAUAAUGAUUCCAUGCCAACUCAACACAAACUUCCAGAUCGAGAAAAUCCACAAAAGUAUUGCUCCAAAUUUUUUUGCUCAUAGAAGCAUUAACAAGCAUUCAAGCAAUACUCAAUGUCCUCUAAGCAAUAUUAAAACCUCUUGCGCUAAACCUCGUGCGUUACUUUACUACUCAAUUUAGAAGGAAAAAGCUAUUAGAAUAAAUAAGAACUCAACUAAUGAUCUACAAUCCAAAAACCAGUGGAAAGUCCAGUAGUAUCUUACAAAAACAAGUUUGAAGGCCUUGCUCUACAGAUUCGUCCUAAGAUAAGGAAGAGCUUAACCACACCAAAGCUAAUUCAACUUCCGGAGCAGUCGUAAGAGGAAACAGAUUCAACAAGAGACAAGGCUGGUAAUGACAAUCCUCCAACUGCGGUUACGACGACAGUGGCAAGAGCUUCUUCUUUGCUUACAUCUUAUCUUUCCGUGACUUCUUGCAUCUCGAAAAAGAAUAUUCUAAAAGGCUAGCUCCACCUGAGCUAUCAAGUAAACACAAAUUUGAUAUGUUGAACUUCUCACCAGUUUGAUAGAGUUUAAUUGGCAAAGAAUCAGCUAUGAAGUUGAACCAGUUUUUUCUAGUCCGUUUUAAGGCCUCACCAACAAAAGACUGCUUAUUCUGUGAUGCCUCAGUCUUACAAAGCUCCCAAAAACUUGAUGAAUAACCAAUAUAUGCACUUUCCUGGCUUUCCUUUGUGCUUUCAAGGCAUCACCCCUUCCCACAAAAGAAGCUCAUGUGGUAGAUAUUGUAGGUGUUAACCUGAAAUAUACAAAUGGUCUUAAUCAGCAUGUAUAAAUGUCUCUAUAAAUAUAAGAAUGUAACAAUUAUGCUUAUCAAGAUACGAACUCACUUAUUGUUCCUGAUACAGAUAUUGACACAUCACACAUACAUGAAGGUGAGCUUAAAUGUAGAACAAUGUUGCCUUACAAGAACUAGUUAUUGUUCAAACUUGAGCACUACCACAAAUAAGACAUAGACUUCAGUUAUUUUCCUGAUAAUGUACUAAAUCCAAAGUUUCAUAGAUUGGAAACUACAAAAUUGCUAAUUAGUUGUUGUUGUACUGUUUUGUUUCACUUGUUAAAAACCUACUGGUCCACAACUACUAGAACAUCAUAGACGGGGCAUCCAAUUAAUUUGUUGGAGCAACAAAUCAUACAUAUAAUCAAAAAUAUAGAUCUCUAUCUCCAUACUAUAGAGUUGUGAGUACAUACAAGUAAACUUUCCAGAGUUAGAACCUAAGAGAGUACAAUGCAAGAGCAUCCCUUUUUGCUAGUUCAACUAGAGAAAGGAAAAUGAAGAUAAAGCAAAGAGAGGGAAAACUAUCAUAGAGAAAUCUUAUCAUGAUAAGAAACUCAUGAUCAACAUCUUUAAUUGAAUACAAUGAGGUUGAUGUUUUGCUAAUAAUGUGAGCAAUAGCAUUACUUUAAUCUACUGAUACAAUAAGGCAUAAGAAUGAUCAAGAAUUAACUAUGAUCAAGGACUGCACUUACCAACUAUGAUCAAGUAUGUCUCUACUACUGUGGGCACCCCAUAAGAAUGAUAGCCAGUAAACAAGAACUCAUUUUCUUGCACCAAAUCAGCACAAAGAGCAUCACGACAUCAUACUGCUCUUAGAAGCAAAUAAACAAAAAAAAAAAGAUAAGCUUGCAUGAAAGAACCUUAAGACAGUGAGCCCAAUUGGAGCAACAAUAGAGCAAGAAACAAGAUUAUACUAAUAAUAAUAACGUAAACAAAUUCAAUGUCAAACAAAGCAAUUAUAUAUAUAAGAUGCUCCCAUUACUGAUACUAAUACUUACCACUGUAGUGAGAAGAGAUGCAAGUAAUUUGAACACGAAAUGCCAUAACUCACAGGCAACAUACUAUGAGCAACAACGCGCACAUGGAGAACAAUAACUGCUUUCAUAUGUAACCAUUAUAGAAUCAAAAUGCAGGACUAGAUAAUGCUACUCAUGAGCCAUUCUUACAUUUGCUUUCAUAGUAUACCUUGAAUAUAUUUUCUUACAUAUAUCACACUAGAAUUGCAAAUCAAUACAUAUAGAUGUAUCUAACAGAGCACAAGAUGAGAUUGAAAUGUGGACUAACCAGUAGGAGGUCCUAGCAUGCCAUUAAAACAUUUCAACGAAACUACAAUUUAGUUAUACAAGAGUUGAUCAAUUUCUCAGCAAACAAAAAGAGAGUAAAGACAUAACAACUUACAAAGCAUCUUUCCAGGUCCAUCCAGUAGCAACAUACAUUUUUAAAGUUAUCAGAUGUUUUUCUUCUCUGCAAACUCAGAAAUUGCAGAGGGCAAAUUAGAAAUGACCUGGAAUCGGCACCGGGGAUCGAGAGUGGUGGGGUCAUGGAUCAUCUGAAGAAUGAGAGGUCUACGAGUACCCAUCUCAACCUCGCAGAGCUUCGAGGAGGGAGCUCUUGCCGUCGGAUUGGCCUCGGUGGCGGCUUGGAGUUGGAGAGAGAGGAGGACGACAUGUAUUUUGCGGCGGAGAAAUUGGGGUGGGGUGUUUGUCGGGAGUGGGAUGGGGUUUUGGUUGGUGUGGUGAGGUAGGCGUUGGUGGCCGUCAGAGAGAUAGAGAAGGGAGGGCGAUUGAUACUAGAAUAUCAACAUACCCAAGGAAUAGCCGAGAAGCGGACUCGAUAGCAGAGACGAGACUUUUGUUGUGGUUCCGUCUGCGUCCAGUUUAACUAUGGUUGGGCGAGUGUUUCUCACUCGCUACCAAAUUGCCGUCCAGACAAGAUUCUGACUUUCUGACGUUUCUGGACCCAUUUGCUUUUCUGUUAACGAACGUUCCCGGCCUAACUUGAUCACGACGUAAUCCAAAAUCACCCAUUAUUAAAGUAGUAAAUAUAGUGUUUCUGUUUUAACCACGACAACAAUAGGCAUCCGACGUAAAAGGCGAAGUGAUCAAGCAAGUUUGUUUGAUCGGAAUGUCGACCAGGUUAGACUCGAGUUCUUGUGUAUUAUGUCCUUUAUUUUGUUUGAGUCUGUUUUUCUUCCAAUUUGUCGGUAUGUAUUUCAUGUGUGAGGUCUUCUAUCAUGUGCUCUGGUUGAUAUCAGAUUACUCAUGGUCUGAAUCCGUUAUAAUCUUUGUUUCAUAAUGAAAUUUCUAUUGAAUAAAGAAAAAAUUAGACAUCGCUUAAAUUAGAAAAGAAAAGAAAGUACCUUGGUUUUCCUCCUAGGAAAUUUGGUGGUAGGUUACUUAGUUAAGAAGAAAAUGCAUCGUUGACAUUGAUAUAGACAUUAGAUAGAGAAUGCUCUGAAUUCGAUGUUACCAGCUGUUGAAUCGGUCAUAUAGGAUCUUUAUGGUUUAGCUCCUUAAAUUAUGAAAUAUCAUAAGAAACAAAAGUGAAACACUGUAAACCUCUAGAAGUUUACAGUGAUGGUGUUAAUGGAAAUUUGUUUUUGUUGGUGAGCUGUGGCUUGGUUGGUUAACAUGUUUAACUAACAACUUUGAGGUCAUGAGUUCAAACCUCACUAGAUAUAUAUAGAGUGUGUGAGUUAUUAAUAAAAAUAAAUAAAAAAAAUUGCCUUUGUAUUCUACGGGUGUUAAUAGGUCGACCAUGCUUUACGCCUGAAGAUCUGAUAUUGAAAUUUUGCUAUACGAUUGUUCAUGUGGUUAAACGUUACAUGAAAUUUUUGAGUAAUCAUGGGCAUCAAGCGGCAAGCUACAAUGAGGCGGACAUUCUAAUCAAGCUUUCCAUGCCUUGUCAAUGUCUACCAACUAAUCGGGCACAUAUAUGUACGUCUAGGACCAUGAUUUAAGUCCCAAGGUUUGAUAUGGACAUUUUGCUAUAUAUUUAACCAACACCUACCCAAUUCAGUAACUCUAUUUACUAAUUGAUAACAAAGAAGAUAACUUUAUGGGACUUAUAGUUGUGCAUAUAAAUCAUAUGACUAAACGUUAUGGACAUUCUGCUCAAGCUUUCUAUGCCCUGUCAAUGUCUACCAGCUAAUCGGGCACACAUAUGUACGUCUAGGACCAUAAUCUAAGUCCCAAGGUUUGAUACGGACAUUUUGCUAUAUAUUUAACCAACACCUACCCAAUUCAAUAACUCUAUUUACCAAUUGAUGACAAAGAAGAUAACUUUAUGGGAUUUAUAGUUGUUCAUAUCAAUCAUAUGACUAAACGUUAUGUGCAGUAUUAAUCUUCAAUAUGGAAAAGUGUCGUGUAUAUAUAUAUUCACUAUUUGCAUCGGCUAAAAAGUUGGCUUAUCUCUUUACAAGUUUGAGACUGAUGAGGUUAAGAUCAAUAAGAAAGAGAAGAUUUCAUUGACAAUGUUUUUGAUACGUAAAGGAGAUAUAUAUAUAUAUAUACGGAUUUUCUCAGCUACGGACGUCCGCACCAAUUUUUUGGUGCGGAUUUCCAUUUUUGCACCACUUUUCGAUCGAAUUUCCUCAUCUCCACCGUCUAGUAUCUAGAUAAUAUUGUGUAGAUUAUUUCUGCAAAAUUUCAGCCAAUUUGGUGAUCGUUAAGGCCCUCAAACUCGUUUUUCUGUGGAUGAACAUAAUUCUAUCGAACUUGAACCGUUCAUGUUUAUAAAAGAAAAACGCAGUUCAGUUCAUGUGGGAUCAUCUUUGUCCGCUUUGCGGUCAGUUCUUCAGUUUUCUUUUCCUGAAGACAGCUCUUCAGUUCUUGGUCUUGUUUACCGUUCUACCCUUUAUCACUGACCAGACGGACACAUUUUCACAUUUCAUGGACAACACACAAACCGACUCGAUGGCUCCGACGUGUGGACGACAGACCGCCACGAUAACAAAACGGCGCACCAGCCGACUGGUCAUCUUAACACUUUUAUGUACUUUGGCACAAUUCAAAUAGAAUCAUAGCAGCAUAAACUUAUGCUUUUCAUAUGAUAACUAAUGUGCAUGUAUGCAGAGGCUGCUGCGUUAUUUUACAAUGCACGACAUAUUUUCACAUGAAAACAUACAUACAUUGCUCACAAUAAAACUCAGCUCUUAAGUUCGCCAGUCUCCUAUAGCUGUCCCCUGUCCAGCUCACUUUCAUGCUCUGCUUCUUCAUAAUUGAUAGCCAAGUCAUCAAAGCUUGGUUCCAUUUUCCAGGGAGGUGAAGUUACAGAAUCUACUCGGAUCUGACAGCUAGCUGAGAUGAUCAAGAAUACUCUACUUGCUGGCUGCUGCAAACGAUUCCCUCAUAGUAGACGUACAUUGCUUUGAAAAACCGUUUGUAACAAAUUAGAAAACGGGAUCGAAUUGGCUUUCGUUCCCAACAGUGAUUAGUCCCAGUAAAUUGUACCUGUCAUUCCAUGAAUAUUAUUUAGGCUUUGUCAGAGUGGUUUAGUCUCAAACAAUUGGGAUUUACAAUAUAAAAACCACAUGUGUAAUUAGGCUUUACAAUAUAAAAUUACAAAUUAAUGAAUAGUGCUAAGAAAUCUGGGAACGCAAGCACUCAAAAUAUUUUUAUUAACUGUAACCAAAAAAUAUAUAUAUAUAUUUUUAUGAGAAAAUUAGAUAAAAACCUAAAAUACUAUACCUGGUCUCUUUUAAGAUAAACUCAUACAUAUUUUUCUUUCAUUUUACACCCACUCCACAUAAGCAAACUUACCAUAUAGAGCAAAUGUUUAUAAUUAAUAGUUUUAUUCAUUUUUCGGUUUCUCUGAUUUGCCCUUCAGAUGAUAGAAAUCUAAAUUUGGUAUCUUUCUCAAUUUUAGCACCAAUUUGAAACUCAAAUACUGAGCUAAAAUUUAGUUUGAUUUAACUUUGUCAUAAUCAAUUACAUUCUUUAAAUUAUUAUUACUAACUUGAGUGUAUAUAUAUGCUAUAUACAGAAAUAUGUCAUUUGCAAUAGAAUGAUUUUUUUCAUUCAUAAGCACACAUUUGAUGUCUCUCUACAUAGUCAAAAAAUGUCUAAUUGUAAGGUAUACGUUCUUGUUCUUUGAUUAAUUUUCAUCUUUUUAGGUAUAUUAUUAUAUCACUUCCAAUCCUGAUCGAGAAAAUAUUUUUCUCUCAACUACUUACAUUUCUUACUUACAUUUCUAAUGUACCUAUUAAGUAGGGCAUAAUAUGAUAAUAUACUUAAAAAGAAGAAACCCAAAAUUGGGUUCAGGGUAUAGGGUUAGGGUAUAAGGUUUAGGGUUUAGGGUAUAGGGUAUAUGGUAUAAGGUAUAGGGUAUAGGGUUUAGGGUUUAAGGUUUAAAGAUCAAAAUAGCUAAAAUGGUUUUUCAUCAUAGAAAUCCACAUGUCAAAAUUUGAAUGAAAUAGAGGAUCACGUCAGAUUUCACAUGUUCAUACGCUAACAGUGUAAAAUUUCUUCAUUUUACUAUAAGGAUAGUGCUAGAGGGUCUUAAUAAGGCCUAAAAUUUGUGACAUUAAUCCUAUGUAUCAUGCCAUGUAAGUAAAUAAAAAUAUUUAUUCUCGAUUUCACAUAAUAUAUCUUGUCAAAUCAAAACAUUGUAUUACCAAUUUUACCAUUUCUAUUUCUUUUUACAUUUUAAGGGGUGAAUCAAUGAUAUUAAUGUACUUUAUUAGGUAAUGGAAUCAAAUAUUACAUAUUAAUAGCAACCACUAAUUAUGUAUACUAUAAGGAAUGUUUCUUACAUCAAUAUGAAGAUUAACUAUUUUUUAAAUAAUAAUUAGUUUUGUCAAAUAAACUCUAACCCCUAACCCUAAUUCGUCCAAAAAGCAAUUAUAAUUCAUCAAAAAGAAAACACUAAUAUAAGAUAAUUCUGAUAUAAUUCAUCAAAAUUUUCUUAUAAUUCGUCCAAAAAAUAAUUUGUAUACAAAUAAUUUCUCUACAUGAUUUACAUACAAAUUAUUUAUAUAAUAUACAUGUAUUUUUUUAUAAUAUACAUUUAUUAUAUGUAUAAUAUAAUGUUAUUUGGAUUUUAUAUUUUUUAUUUUAAUUAGAUAUUUAGAAGAAGGAAAGUAAAAAUAGUUUUAUUUUUCAGUGAAAAACUGAAAUUUAUUAGUCAUUGUUUAAAAUUGACCAAAUGGUAAGAUGGUUUUUAUACUUAAGUAUUACAUGGCAUAAGAUUUUUAAUAUGUGAUGUGUCUAAGUGAUUUGGCAUGCCACAUAUAUUUGAGGCCUAAAAUCUUAGGCUUUAAUAAGGCCUAGAAUCAUUUUCCUUACUAUAAUAAUUAAAUAUCUUAUUUAUAUUAUAUUCUACCUUAUUUAUAGAUCAUAUAAUGAAUUCUUUUCACCUAGAUUUUUUUCAUAAAAAAUAAAGAAAACUGCAUGAUUCUUGUAAAUUGAUUGAAAAAUUUUAGUGUUAGAAGAAAAACUAAUAAUGAAGGUAUUUAAGAUAGUAUCAAUUAAACUUAUUUAUUAUGUUUAUAUAUUAUAGUUGAAUGGUGACAAUUGCGUAAAAUUUAAAAAAAAUAAGACAUAAUAUGUAUCAUAAUUGAUACAUUUUAGAUGUCUAUUAAAUAAGAAUAUUAGAUGAGUUUUAUUUAAAAUCACUUUUUAAAAUUGGGUGUAUAUGAAAAUCCCCCUAUUUUUAUUAAUUGGCCGCCAACAGUUCAAUGAAAGGCAACGCCUGGUUACUUGAUCUGCAUAUUUUUCUUUCAAUUUUCUUACAAAAAGUAAAAAAUGAAAAACCCUUUCGCGCGCUCACCACCUAGCACGCUACCUACUACUGACUUUAAAAUAACAAGUAACGUAAAACACUAUGUAUCUAUAUAUAUACAACUAAUCCAAUAACAUAUAUAAAAGCUCCUUCUUCUCCGUUUCAAAUCAGACAGAAGAGCGUUUGUUUUUAAUUUAUCUCAAUCACUUCCAGAACAGCAGUAUGGAAGAAAACAUGGAGGCCUCAACAACCAAGUUGCUUUUCCUGGCCGUACAUUGCCUUGCUCUUUUGGGGCCGUUUUAUUUCAACUGGUCUGCGUUUUGGCUGGCUGUAGCACUCUAUUUUGUAACAGGUGUGGGUAUAACCCUGUCUUUCCAUAGAAACCUAGCUCACCGCAGCUUCAAGCUUCCCAGAUGGCUCGAGUACUCUUUUGCCUACUGCGCCGUCCUUGCACUCCAGGUUAAUUUGCAACAUCCUCAUCAUUGGACGUCGUACUGUUAUUAAAUUUUCCCAUCUACUUUGAUCGAUCUGGCUAGCUUAAUAUAUACUUGGAUGAUUUUGCAUGCAUGCUCUUGAUUAUUUGUAUGGUUUAAUUGUAGGGAAGUCCAAUUGAAUGGGUGAGCACACACAGACUUUCAUCAUCAGUAUACUGAUACAAUGGAUGACCCUCACAGUCCCAUUAAGGGAUUUUGGUACAGUCAUAUUGGUUGGAUUGUCGACUAUCGUUCUCGGUUUGGAACUGUAAGUAGAAACCUCUCUCUCUCNNNNNNNNNNNNNNNNNNNNCUCUCUCUCUCUCUCUCUCUCUCUCUCUCUCUCUCUCUCUCUCUCUCUCUCUCUCUCUCUCUCUCUCUCUCUCUCUCGUGUGUCUAGUGUACCUGUAUCAGUAUACGUAUGUGUAACAUGUAUACAAAAUGCAGUAAUUACCUCUUGAGUCUCAAAACCUGAGUAUGACUUCAAUUAUGAUUUAUUCCGACGAAGACCAUGCAUGCUUAUUACCUGAAUACAGCAAUGAUUCUUUUUUCUUUUUCAUCACGUCGAUCAUAAUUAGUGAAAUGAUCGAUUAGCUGCGUACUUGUGUACUCGUAUUGGAAAUCAUGCAUGUAUAUAUGUAUAUCGAUCGAAAAAUUAAUGAAUGUCUUUCCUGUAAUAACGUGUAUUGAAUUUAUGUAGUCCGCCGCACUAGAAUUCAAGAAUGUCGGAGACUUAAAGAAGCAAUGGUACUACAGGUUUCUUCACUAUACAUAUCCAUGUCACUCGAUUGCUCUUGGAAUUCUGCUAUAUGCUACAGGAGGGCUACCAUUCUUGGUUUGGGGAAUGGUAAUUAAGCUGCUUGCUAUCGCUGACUACUUAUCUAGCUUGUAUUCUUGUUCGACAAGCGAGAGUCAAUUAUUUGGCCAUAUAUGUACAUAUUAACUUCUCAAAUAUAUACCACAUUUUACCAAAUUGAUUAAAUAUUAGUUGUCUUUUUUAUAUUUCUUGCAGGGUGUGAGGACUGUGUUUUUUCUCCACGUUACUUUUUCAAUAAACUCGAUCUGCCAUAUAUGGGGAAAGCAAGUAUGGAACACCGGUGAUUUGUCUAAAAACAACUGGUAUUAAUCAAAUACUUCUUCUCAAUUAUUGGGCUAAGUAAUGAACCUCAUGGCUGGAUUACGUAUAAAAUGUAGUUAGGUUUUGAUUAGGUUGUUAGGGUUGCUAGCUCAUGGAGAAGGUUGGCACAAUAAUCAUCAUGCUUUUGAGUACUCAGCUCGACAAGGCUUGGAAUGGUGGGAGAUUGACACUACUUGGUAUAUAAUUAGCUUCCUCGAAGUCCUUGGGUUGGCCACAGACGUGAAACUCCCAACUGAAGCUCAUAAGAAACGGAAGGCUAGCUUUCCCUGCUGAAGCUCAUAAGAAACCAAUUGCUUUCUUCACUAUUGUGGGUGCAAAUAUUUUCACCGUAAGAUUUAAAUACAAAUGGACAUCCCUUCAUGCAUGAAAAGUCAAACUUGGAAUAAAAUCGCCUAGUGAGCAAUCUGGUCGCGGCCAAAUCCGGUAUGGCUCCAAGAAGUCCUAUGUCCCAACCCAUCCACGAAAGGAUUGGGCCGUGAUCGAAUCGCAUGGCGAACAAAUUAGGUUGUAAAUAAAUGGGUCGUGAGCAGAAUGAAAUGGGUAACGGACAAAUCUAGUUGUAGAUGAAUAGGCUCGAGGAGCAUGUUGAUCCAGUCAAGGUAAAGGAGAACGUGGCAGCGAAGGAAAUUAUGGAGCGGCGCUGGAUGAACGUGAUUUAGUGGAAGUUGGACACGUUGAAGGAAAAUCAUGAAGAGGUGGAUCGUGUAGUGGUCAAGUCAGGUCGUGGCCGGAUAGGGUGUCGGUCAAAUCAAGUCGCAUGAGAGGGAGAUGCGGCAAGAACAAGUUGAGGAUGAAGUGAAAUAAAACGGGACGACGAGAAGAAAGGGGAGUGGAGCUCUUCCAUGAUAUCCAUAAUACGAAAUCGUGGAUCCUCUCGUGCUCAACAUUAAAGGACAAGGAGUGAUGGCUAUAAAUAUAACUAGAAGAGGAUCUAGAGAGGGGGGUAUCAAAAUCAGUCAGAGAGCACUAUACAAUACAUUUUUGGAGAUUUUAGAUUGGGAAAGAUAUUUUCGCUGGUGAAUUCUUCGCCCAUUUACAUAUCCAUAAUCAAAAGGAAAAAAGCUUUCAUUCCCGCUCCAGUUAAGAUUGGUUAGUGAGGAAAUCUUCUAUCUGAAUUUUUCCGCACCAACAACUAUCGACUAGUUUUGAUCAGGGAAAAGCUCAAAGUGUUGCGAACGACUCACUCGCUUCGAAAAACCGGGUGCAUGACGUAGCAUUUCCUGCAGUUGAAGAAAAAUAAAGAUCUCUGAUGAAAUACUUAAAGAAAAUGUAAAGGACACACUCAUAUGCAUGUAGUCUAAACUCAAAUAACAAAUAUGCUUGAAAUUAAGCUUAAUAAUGAAAAAAAUUAAGUUAUGCUUUGCGCAAUCUGCAUGAAUAGAGAUAAAUAAAUGAAAUUGUUCUACAAACAUACCCCCCAUACUGAUGCUGAAGGAGGCUCCUUAAAUGUUUGGCUCACUGGAAAGCGGCAACUGAUGCUGUUAAUGCUCCACAAUCACUAGCAGCCUUCAUCAGUAAUUCAGAGAAUUGUUUCUGCAUAAACCAAGCAAAUAUAACGCAAGAGAAGAUAGCAUCAAGAAAAGUAUUAUUUUAACACAAGGAAAUUUCCAACAAAAUUUUCUUCUUCAAUGUCGAGAAGUUAUAUAUCUUCAACUGUCUUCUAAGAUUAAUAUUUCCAAAAGCUAGCUAAAUAAAUAUCUUUCAUAUUUUUCAAGACUAGAGGUAUAUAAUUGAUCAGAACAGUUGGUUUCUGGCAUGAUAAUCUUAUAUCUUUUCCAACUAGAUUAUGUUCUUUAACUCUUCAUAUCCAAGUAUCCAACUAAACUCUGUACGUCCUAACUUUCUCGGUAUAAACAUAUAUGUUGGUGUAUUUGGGGUUUGCUAUACUAGCUUGUUUUUGAACAUUUGAUUACAUGACACUUGCUCGUUACUCGUUAGAUUAAUCAGCUGAGUAGUCGCUAUCUGUAACAGCAACGUAGAACACAGAAAUCAAAAGCACCUAUAAUCCAAGAAGAAAGAAUCCAUAAAUCAAGAACGAGUCCCACAUAGCAGAAAUUGCUUCGAAAAACCGUGUGCGUGCAUAUGAUGCUACUUAGAUGACUCGUCGUAUAUUAAUUGCUAGAUUAAUCGAUAUAAUCAUGAGUCAUCAUCCUAUUCAAUAGAAAAAACUAAUAAGAUCAUCAACAGUCUUUCAAAUCAUGCAGGAUGGUUCUUAAUUUAGUUUUCCUUCUUACAUUGAUGUGCAUAAUAGUGUUAUGUGUGGCAUAUAACAAAAUCUUUGACUGUGAUGUAUUUGGAUUGGUUGGGGAGCAAAUCUAGAAGAAAAACAUUGAAUAGUUUGGUCAUCUAUAGGUUUUUUACUGUCUUUUUCGUUUAAGUUGGAAAUAGGCCUAAUAGAGGUAAUUGAAAAACUACAAAAAUGUAGGAUAAGUGUUAAACAAUUUGAGACGUGCAAAUGAAAUUUCUCUAUUUUGGAUGAUGAUGAUGUACGUGCUUACUUAGAAGAAUCUGAGAAUAAUGCAUUGUAAUUUGUAAGUUGUAACAGAAUCUAUUCGCCGUUCAUGAAUAUUCUAAUUUUGGAGCAAAGCUGUCAAAAUAGUAUAAUCGGAUCAAGAAAGGAACCCAUAUGAUACUUCUAAAACAAGCCACGCCAGAUUACUUUGUCUGCAUUUUAGUUUUCUUCAAUUUUGCGGACGUCUCUCUAUCCAAGCCAGAGUAGCUGUGCUAUUUAUAUAUUUAUCAGUGUAUAUAUAUAUAGUUGAACAUGAAUCCAAAACACGUACUAGCUAGAUAGGUAUGCAUGUGUGUAUAUAUAUCUAUCUACAAGCAGGCAGUCGAAAUUACAUAGCAGCUAUUCUCCUUCGUUCUUUGCUUCAAAUCAGACAGAAAAGUUUCUGUGUUUAGUUUGCAUCUCUCACUUCAAGAACUGGAAGCACCAUGGAAGGAAAAACGAAGGCCUCAAUAACCAAGUUGUUUUUCCUGGCCAUACAUAGCCUUGCUUUUUUGGGGCCGUUUUAUUUCAACUGGUCUGCGUUUUGGCUGGCUGUGGCACUCUACUUUGUUACAGGUGUGGGUAUGACCCUGUCUUACCAUAGAAACCUGUCUCACCGUAGCUUCAAGCUUCCCAGAUGGCUCGAGUACUCUUUUGCCUAUUGCGCCGUCCUUGCACUCCAGGUUGAUUUGCAUCAUCUGCAUCCAUGGACAUACUGUUACUACUUAUUACCCAUCUAGCUACUUUGAUCAGGCUACCUUGAUAUUUUGCAGAUUCAUUAAUCAGUUGCAUGCAUGCAUGCUAGCUCUGAAGUCUAUCUGAACUAUUUGUAUGGUUUGUAGGGAAGUCCAAUUGAAUGGGUGAGCAUACAUAGAGUUCAUCAUCAGUACACUGAUACAUGGGAUGACCCUCACAGUCCCAUUAAGGGAUUUUGGUACAGUCAUAUUGGUUGGGUCGUUGACUAUCGUGCUCGGGCUGCAAAUGUAUGUAUGAACUCACCCUCUCUCUCUCUCUCUCUCUCUCUCUCUCUCAUCAUACUUGAAAUCUUGCAUGUAUGAAUCGAUCGGAAAAUGCAUGUCUUCUCAAUAACGUGUAAUGAAUUUCAGCCCGACGCACUAGAAUUCAAAAAUGUCGGUGAUUUGAAGAAGCAAUGGUACUAUAGGUUUCUUCACCGUACAUAUCCGUUUCACUCUGUUGCUCUUGGAUUUCUGCUAUAUGCUGCAGGAGGGCUACCAUACAUUGUUUGGGGAAUUGUAAGCUUGCAUGCUCUUCAUUACUUACAUAACCUAGCUAGCUUGUACCACAAGCAAGAGUCAAUGGUUUUGCUGUGUUCUCAUUGGAACAGAAUUUUACCAAACUAAUCGAUUAAUUAGUUAUCUGUUUCUCAUUUUAUUUGCAGGGUGUGAGGACCGUAUGUUUUCUCCACGCUACUUGUUCAGUGGGCUCGAUCUGCCAUAUGUGGGGAAAGCAAGUAUGGAAUACUGGUGACUUGUCUAAAAACAACUGGUAUUAGCAAAAUAUAUUUCUGCUCAAUUAUAUAUAAUGUAAUUCAUGACCGUUAUACGUAUAUCAUAUUGUUUGAUUUUGCUUAGGGUGUUAGGGUUGCUAGCUCAUGGAGAAGGUUGGCACAACAAUCAUCAUGCUUUUGAGUACUCAGCUCGACAAGGCUUGGAAUGGUGGGAGAUUGACACUACUUGGUAUGUAAUUAGGUUCCUCGAAGCCAUUGGGUUGGCCACAGACGUGAAACUCCCAUCUGAAGCUCAUAAGAAACGAAAGGCUUUCCCUGCUGAAGUUCAUAAGAAACCAAUUUAUUGAUUUCUUCACUAUUGAGUAGUUUUGACCAGGGAAAAGCUCAAAUUAAGUUGGGACUGAAGCAAUAAUGUAUCAAAAGUAUAAUGAAUAAGAUUAGCCAACCGUCUAUUCAAGUUCAAUAACGCUAAUUUCAUUUUCAUUAAUGUUAAAUAUAUGACACAUGUUUUUGUAAUCAGAUGAUAAGCUAUUUGGUUCAGUUUAGUAAGCUAUAUAUGAUACAAGUUCAAUAUUAGCCUGCUUUUGAACAUUUGAUUACAUUACAUUUGGAUUAGCUGUAUAGUUCCUAUCUGCGACAACGACAACCCAGAAAUCAAAAACACCGAUAAACCCAGAACAAAGAACCCAGAAAUCACUGCAGGAAUAGUGCUAAUAGGAAGCAAGCUGUAAUGUUAAAAGUGGAAAUGCCAAAUUUCGGUUCAUCUUCAUACAUAACCACAUCUUAACACUUUUACUUGAGAAACUAGAUAUUAAAUAAACUUAUUUACAUUGGCAAAAUUCAAAUAGAAUCAAAUGUAAUGUAUUACUGCACAAACUAAUGUUUUUCAAGUUCAGAAUUUCAAGGUGUAUCAUCAAUAUAUAUAUAUAGGAAGUUUAAGCAGAGGCUGCUGCGUUAAAUUACAAUGCACAACCUAUUUCACAUCAAAACAUACAUUGGCUCACGACAAAGCUCAGUUUUUAGGCAUUUUUGACUGAAGGAGGCCAUGACAAUCUCCUAUGGCUAGAGCUGUCCAGCUCACCUUCAUUCUCUGCUUCUUGAUGCUUGAUAUCCGGCCUUCUUGAGCUUUUGAUAGCCAAGUCAUCAAAGCUUGGUUCGGUUUUCCAGGGAGGUGGAGUUACACAAUCAGGAACCCCCGGUACUCUUCUGGAAUCCUUGGCUGGUGUGAUAGGUGAAGGGGUAUCAGAAUGACCUACUCUGAGUUGUUGAAGUGUUGCAAACGACUCUCUCAUAGCAGACAUUGCUUCGAAAAACCGGGUGCAUGAUGCUAAGGCAACAGGAAUUGGACGUAGCAUUUCCUGCAGUUGAAAAAAAAAUAAAGAUCUCUGAUGAAAUACUUAAAGAAAAUGUAAAGGACACACUCACAUGUAGUCUAAACUGAAACAACAAAUAUGCUUGAAAGUCAAAUAAUGAAUAAACAAAAAAAACAAAGUUACGCUUUAUGCAAUCUGCAUGAAUAGAGACAAAAAUAGUUCUAAAAACAUACCCCCCAUACUGAAGGAGGCUCCUUAAAUGUUUGGCUCCACUGGAAAUCGGCAACUGAUGCUGUUAAUGCUCCAUAAUCACUAGCAGCCUUCAUCAGUAAUUCAGAGAAUUGUUUCUGCAUAAACCAAGCAAAUAUGACAGAAGAGAAGCAUUAAGAAAAGUCUUAUUUUAACAUAAUGAAUUUUCCACCAAAAUUUUCUUCUUCAUUGUCAGGAAGUUAUCAUUCAACUGUCUUCUACGAUUAAUAUUUUCAAAAGCUAAUUUUAUUUUUCAUGGCUAGAGGUAUAUAAUUGAUUUAUGAGAACAGUUGAUGAAUAUACUACAUAGGGAUAGAUUUAGUGACAAAGGUUGCUCAGAUUGAACCAAAUAAAAAGAUUGCUCCUGUAUAAUUGUACUGAUGGAUGUACAAUACAAUUACACUACAAAUUCGCAGUUUGAAUAAAGAUAUCACUCCAACAUAUGAGAUAUGAGCAAAUAACCUGAUACUCUGCUUCCACCGGAAUGCAAUCGAGUGAAUAUGGUUGUUGGAGACGAGCAAUGAUACGAUCCUGCCAGAACAUAGAAACAAAAUAUGGUAUAACUGAGAUACAAACAGAUUAAUAUGGCACUCCAAGUCAGAAGAAGAUCACAACGGAUCGCUCAAGUUCUUCAUGUACGUUUUAGUCUGUUUUAGCUUCUGUAAAUCCCAGUAAGGACUGAUACUGUUAUUGCAAUCCUAGUCAUAAUUUACACAGAAAGUUGAGGUUUGUGUAUUCGUAAUGAACAUAGAUUUCACUAUGUAUUGAAUUCAGUUUCAACACAUGUAACAGAUGUCGUAUCAAAUUCAGAUAAAUAGAACAUCAAGCAACACCAUUUUCAGGGGCAAAUGGAAAUCCAACAUACAGGACUACAGGAGUAGUCUUCAACACAUACAUUAAAAAAACUGACAAUGCACAACCACAAAAUGCAAGAACUUUACCUUGUUCUGAAUGACAUCUUUUAAUAUUGUAGUAAUCCUUGAUAGAGUUUCACACUUCUUUUCCAUUUCGCUCACAUGCGUCAAAUGUGAUACAUUUUUAUCAUCCUAAAGAUAACAAAACACAAUGUCAGAUCAACACAUCAAAAAACAAAACAAAAACAAAGAUCAGAAACCCCUACUGCUACAUGAAUAAACACUCAUACACAUAUCAAAUCGAAAACAUGACAGAAGAGAGACCCAAAGAGCUCACUUUUCUGCCUUGAAGUUCAACUUGCAGAUCUGCUAUUUUCCUUUGCACACUGGUAAGCUCCCUCAGAACCCUUAUCAAGUCAUCACCUUUCUCACCAGUACUACUCGACCAAUUCUGAAGCUCCUCCUGCAUCAAAACAAAGACCAACCCAGAUUGAAUUUCCAACCACUAAUCAUCCACAUUACAAUUAACCAAACGAAUCAAACACAAAUAAUCACCACCACCCUUCUCUCUUGGUCAAAGCAUCGAUCUUUUUCAACUGGGGUGUUCAAAAUCAACCCCAGAAAUGAAAUGUAAGAUGCAACAAAUCAAAAUUGAGUUGAUAACCGAAAUGGGUCAAGCUAAUUCUGAUCCAAAGCGAGCAAAGAAGUAAAAAUGAACAUGGUAGAAAGUAAAAGUUUAAAUCUUUACCGGAGUAGGAGCAGCGGCGACUGAGAAGCCAAGAUCGGAAGCAAUGGAGAGAGCAUCGGACAUGCCUCCGAUGCGUCUCAGAGGCUUCUUCCCCACCCAUGUAUUAUCACUCCCCAUCGACAUUCCACCCACUUCCCCAAUUGCUUCAGAAAUUUUCAAAAUCCAAAGCUUUGAAAUAGGAAAGGAGGACUCUUUGCCGGCCGGGUCAACCCAUUUUAAUAAAGCCCAAUUAUUAUUUAAAUGACCCGCCAAAAUAAGGCCCAUUAGGGUAUAGGAGGUCCUAUGCUCCCCUAUAUAAACCCCCCUCCGCACACUAGUCUCACUCACCCUUCGAUCUCUUCUGAAUUUGGGGUUUCUGGGAUCUGUGUGUUUUAGGGUUUUGAUGUUUAUGUGAGGUUUGAGCUUGUUUAGGGUUUAGGGUUUAGUUGUUUUAUGGCGUAUUUGAUCCAGUGAGGAAGCAUACCCAAUUGAUAGGAAGUGCCGUAUGACACUUUAAACAGCGGCGGCUACACAUAACGAGCCGCCUAUCGUUCCCAUCCACCGGCGAGUAUUUGUUACUCGUCGGUCGGGAACGGGGCGGCUCCGGUGUGCCGCCGUGGUGUGUGAUUUGGAACGGGAUUCUGAGGGUCAUCAUCUUCUUUGUGUUAUUUUUUGGGUUCGAUGCCACGUCGACGGUAGCUAAAUGCCUUGACCGACGAUGCUACAUUGAACCGAGAUUGAAAUCUUUCGCUUUCUGAUAGGAACCUGUGGAUCCUUUUAACAAUCUGGUCCACGGAGCCGAUUUACUGCGAUUACAUCUUGAUAUGGUUUUCUUGUGUUUUGUUUGGUUUUAGUAUCUGGGUGUUUUGAUUGAAGCCUGUGAUGAUUGUAUUUUUAGUUGGAAUUACCGACUGAUGUCUUUGAUGAUAAAUUACUGGCUUUCUGAGGCUUCAGAAUCUAUAUAUUUUCUAAUUUGUUUUCAAAGCUCGUGAAAAUGAAACCGCCAUUCUAUGUUCUUUGGGACAUGUUGAACUAUUCCUUGUUUGCUAGAUUGAUAGUUGAAUGUAUCUGCUAUGUUACUAGAUUAAUCCUGACGUAUAAAAGCAGGGUCCUGUUGCCUUGUAUGUGAAUUGGUCUCUCGUAGACGUCAGGGAAAUUAUAUGUAAUUGCAACAUUAUUGGGUGAACCUCUGUUUGUUCUUUGUGAAUGGUGGCUGAAGGUUCAGUAAAUGAUGCAACAUUCUCAAUCACAGCUUGAUUACCAAACAACUUAAUGAACUAAUAUUGGAUGGAUGGAGGGAGCUGGGAUUGGGAUUAAGUUAAGAAGUCGCAUCAGAAGGAUCCCCAGUACGCAACAUAUCUUGAUUACUGUGUGCUGUUAUAAUGCGAUGAGGAGCUUCUAACGAAUUUGGAUUAAAGGUUUGGCUUCUUAUUACUAAGUAGGACAAUAUUUUUGGAUUUGAACCACCAAAUAGGGGAUUGAUUAUACACUAACAUGUUUUCAUGGAUGAUGUGAUUGAUGUCAAGGCUACAAGGAUAUUCUUCGUUGUAUAAUAAAAUUCAGUGCAUACAAGUCGCACAACAAAGUAAUACAAAGUAAUUCAGUGGACACAAGUCUCGCAACAAAUUACUAUCAGGAUGAAGAACUAUUAAGAAAAUGUUGGAUUUGGUUAUCAAAAAGGUUGGAAUUCGUCAAACAUAGGCUAAAGUUAUACUUAAAAUUCAUCCGAGACCCUCAGGGCUCCCAAAACCCUCCACCAUCAGUAUGGGAGCUGAUCUGUUUGAGCCAACCUCGCAAUGUGCAUUCCCGAUCUGUGUAGGAAACUGAUGGAGACGCUUUGUUGCAAUGUUGCAUACAAAAGAACAGAUUUUAACACAAUUAGAGAGAUGAUAUACGUACUAUUCCAACCUAUUACUUUUGUAUCUUAAUCGCAGAGACUAAAUAACUACCUGACCUUGACUUUGCCUCUACUCCCACCGAAAGUGAAGUUUGCAACAAUCCUUCAUUAUUUAACUAACCAGACGCCGGUUUCGACUUUUGAGGGAGUCAAGAAUUCCAUUAUUUCAAUUUUCCAACUUCAUAGUCUUUUAUAAUCGAUGAUAUAAAGCAUCAUUUUCAUAAAGCUAUGGUUCCUAUGUCUCCUCUGCAUUGUGGGUUGAGGCAGUUGAGCUAUCAGCUGCUAUGCAUUUGCAUUCGGACAGCAUUAGUCAUUCAUCCUAAAAUAUCUCUUUUCCGAUCUUGAUGCAUAUUUUGUUGUAAAACUAAGUUUGUGGUAAAGAAUGGACCUUAAUCCAGUGGAGUUUUUCGGAGGUGCAGUUCUAAGGAAAAGCAUUCAGUACACUCUACGCUGGCAUUGAUGAUCUGAUUGCCAAGAAUCGCAUGUUUAGAAGUCUCUUCAAAGUCAUCAGAUCCAGGCUAGACACUCUAAAGCCACUUUUCAUCGACAUGGCACUGUCUAACGAGCAACUGUCUUACACAAACAACGAUGAGCUUAGAGGUUUAGAAAAAGUACUCAAGGUUGGCGAAAGGCUUGUUCUGAAGUGCUCAAAUGUUCGUCUGUGGGAUCUCUACAGAAAGUACAAAUAUGCCACAAAACUUCUUGCCUGGGAAGAAGAACUUGAAAGACAACUGCAACUGGGGAAGAAAACCGCGGUGGUAGUAGAGAACAUAGAGGUUUCUGUAGGGAGUGUGAAGGAGGGGAUCAACCAAAUGUCUAGUACUCUGGGGGAGGUGAACCAACUCAUGAAAGUGAAUUUUGUGGUACAAGACCAGCCUGCUGAGAGUAGAGCUUGGUGCGCAGUACCUGAACUUCCAGAGGUUAUAGUUGGACUGGAAGCUCCUUUGAAGGAUUUGAAGACAAAGCUUCUUGGGAAUGAUGGAUUCUCAAUGCUUGUGCUCACUGCUCCCGGAGGAUGUGGGAAAACUACCUUGGCAACCAACUUUUGCAAAGAUCAGGAAGUCAGAGGUAUUGUGUGUGUGUGUGUGUCUAGAUCAAUCAUGGUUGAAGUAGUUUUAUUAGAAAUUUGUUCACGUUGUCUUGGUACUCUAGCUUUACUUUGCAUGUGCUAUGAUCCAACUAAUAGUGUGUUUGUGUUUUUUGAUGGGUCAAAUUUCCCUCUUUAUUUGGAGGAGGAUGUCAUGUAGUUUACUACAUGUGAAAAACCUUUUCGGUGAAGCCUCAAGACCCGUUCAAUUAACCAAGAGGCAAGAUGGUAUAUGAAUAGCAAAGUUGGUAGUGUGUAUAUGUUGAAAUGCAAGAGAGAGAGCCUAUAUGUAUAGGCUUGUUGGUGGCUGAAAAGUUUGACAAAAGGAUGGAGAUGCAUUGAUGGUGCAUACAAACAUUGAAGCUUGAAUUAAGGAAGAAGUUUGAAUUCUCUUCCUUGUGCAUGGACGUGAAGGAUUUGCAUGGGAAGUGCAUGAAGAAUGCAUGCAUAUAUUUGCCUAUAUAUAGAGGCAUUUCUAAUGGUGCAAAAGAUAUAGAAGAACCGGUGAGUUCACCUUGUGCUAUACAAGAGUGUGAGAUAGAGAGAAAACUCCAAGUUGAGAGUUUGUGUGUGUAACAAAACAAAGUGUGUGUGAGAGUGUAUCCCUUCAAGAGUGAGUCUUGAAGUAGUGUUUCUCUCCGUGUAACCUUUAUUCGAAUAGUGGAGGUUCUUUGUUGUUGUUGCCCCGUGGACGUAGGCACUUUGCUGAACCAUGUUAAUACCCGGUGUUCUUUAUCAUUUUCUUUCCGCUACAUUUUACAUUUGUGGUUGUGAGUUCUGAUUCCAUUCUACAGUUUAUUCUUCCGCAUAACCCAACAUUUUUGUUGUUGUAUUGUUUUAGAUUUAGACCAUAUUUUGAACAAUGACUUUCUUGUAUUUCAUAGAUAAAUUAGGCAAAAAUAUCUUCUUUGUCACUGUUUCGAAGAAGUACAGUUUUAGCUUUAUUGUAGAACAACUAUAUCGACACAACGGUUCACAAGUUCCUACUUUCCAAAACGAAGUGAUUGCAGUUCAGUGGCUUCAAGCAUUUUUAAAGGAAGUAGGAAAGAAACCUUUACUGUUUGUCCUGCAUGGUGUUUGGUCCGGAUCAGAAUCUCUUUUUGAUAAAUUUGAAUGCAGAAUGGCAAAUAUUAGGAUUCUUGUGACAUCAAGAUCUGAAUUUCGAGCAUUCAGUCCGCCAUAUCAUUUAGAAAUGCUGGGUUAUGAUGAUGCAAUGAAACUUUUUCAUCAUUCAGCGUCCUUGGGAGAUAAGAGCUCUCAUAUUCCACCACAUCUUUCAAGAAAGGUGAGGUGAUCACACAGUUGCAUUAUAUCAUAUUUGUAAAAGUAAUUAGAGCAUUGAUUGUUGAAGUACAUAUUGAGCUUGUUUGAGAAACUUCAACACUCAGAUUAUGAUUGUCUAUGAUCCACUUGGAGUAUCCAAUUUUAUUGCAGAUAGUAAAUCAUUGUAAGGGAUUUCCACUAGCCAUUAAAGUGGUAGGGAGAUCGCUUUGUGCACAACCUAUAGAGAUGUGGCAAAACAGACUAAAUCAAUGGUCUAAAGGUUCUUCUAUUUUGGAUUUUGAGACUGAUUUACUUCUUUCCCUCCAAAGCAGCUUGGAUGCUUUGGAUAAGGAAAAGGCUAUCAUCAAAGAGUGUUUCUUGGACCUUGGUUCAUUUCCUGAAGACAAAAAUGUCCCGGUUAAUGCCCUCAUUGAUAUAUGGUCCGAGUUAUAUGAUAUAGAUGAAGACACUUCCUGCAUUUCAAGCCUCUAUGAACUCAGCAAUCGGAGUCUGGCUAAUCUUAUUGACAAGAGGUAAUUAUGUAUGUUUCUGUUGUAUGAUAGCUCUAAGUCUACAACAGAAACAUACAUAAUUAUGGUUAUAACUAGCUGUAAUUUUGUAUGAGGAAUUUACCAACUUCUUUUGAUCAAAAUUGAACAGGCGAACGAAGUUGGAUGGAGAAGGAUAUUAUGGUGAACACUAUGUCACCCAACAUGAUUUGCUUAGGGAGCUAGCUAUUUAUCACUCAAAACUAGAUCCGGUAGAGCACAGAGAAAGAUUGAUCAUAGACAUAUGUGGAAGCAAUCUUCCCAAGUGGUGGAGGGAACAAAAGUACCAAGUUAUCAAAGCUCGCCUGGUAUCUAUAUCAACUGGUUGUCCCAAUUUCCAUCUUAAUUUAUUCAAAAUCACCUAUGCAGUAUGUGCAUAUUAUUUUCUAGAUUUAAUUCACAUUAGUUUAGUUCUCCCCACACUUACAUCCAAUAGCAUUUUGUAUGUAGAUGCAGAGUCUUCAACUUUGAAAUUGCCCAACAUGCAUCUGCCAGAAGCAGAGGUACUAGUCUUGAAUCUGCGGGAGACACAGAAAUAUGCUAUACCUGAAUUUGUGGAGGAAAUGGUGAAGUUGAAGGUACUAGUAAUCACAAGUGAGCAUUUCUGUGAUAGUCAGUUGAGUAAUUUUCAGUCAAUAAGUUGGUUAUGUAAUCUAAAGAGAAUAAGAUUAGAGGGCUUCUCAAUUUCAUACAUAUUCAAGAACUCCAUAUCCAAGCAAUGAAAAAUAAAGACCUGGGCCUUCGUUGUCACAUCAGCCCAGCAAUAGGGCUCCACUCUUGCGUCAGCCAAGUGAAAAAACAACUGACGCGGGUUUUACAUGCGUGUGUUUCAUGGAGCACUACUAUCCUUUCCUAUUCACGUGUGUUGCACUUGCUGUUGCAACAUACAAGACAAACCCCAACUCUCCAAAGAAAUGUGUCAAAAGGCUGUUGGUUGGUUUUAAUAUUUAAAUGAAUUUCUAUAAAUAAAUUUUUUACUCUUAUUUCUUUAAGCAUUUCCUAAUUAGUUAAUGAAAAAAAUUAAAAUAUGCUAUUAAAAGUCACCCAUUGGCUACAAAUAAUUUUAGAAAACUUUCAGGUGUUGUUUAUCCUAAUUGAUAAUUUAUAAUUCUGAUGUCAUGGAUUUAUUUAAUUUGAUGCUAAUAAUAUUUUAAUUAAUAUAAACUCUUAUAUACAUCAUACUUUAAUAUUUACAUAAAUUAAAUAUACUUUUUUUUUUGGUAAAACUAAAUUCACUUAUGUUAUAUGUUUUAGUUAGUAUUCAUCAUUUAUUUGUAUUAUAAAUUUUUAUUAAUUAAUAUAAAAAAUAACAUAAAAUUCAAUAAAUUGUAAAUAGCGCGCGGCUAUCUUGAUCUUUCACAAAACGGGUGGAAACUUCUCGGAAACUGCUACCCAGUUUCAUUGUCACGUGGGACCCAGGCGAAGACCUAUGGGUGGACUUUGAGCUAUCACUUUAUCAGCUAUGGAUUUCCAUUAGUCUCUCAGAUAAGAAUCAUUCUUUCCUUCUUCUUCUUCAUCUUAAGAGAUUUAUUUUCCUAUCUUUUGUUGGGAAAUUAAGUUUGCAGUAAAAAAUGAGUAUUGAUCCGGUGGAGCUUGCUUUAGGUGCUGUUCUAGGAACAGCAUUCAGUGUACUCUAUGCUGGCGUUGAAGAUCUGAUUGCCAAGAACCACUUGUUCAGAGGUCUCUUCAAAGACAUCAAAUCCAAGCUAGACACCCUGAAGCCACUCCUCGCCGAUAUGACACUGUCUAACAAGCAACUGUCGUACGCAAACAACGAUGAGCUUAGAGGUUUAGAACAAGUACUCAAGGCCGGAGAAGAGCUUGUUCGAAACUGCUCAAACGUUAGUAGGUGGGAUCUCUACAGAAAGUAUAAAUACGCCACAAAGCUUCUUGCAUGGGGAGAAGAUCUUGAAAGCCAAUUCAAGCUGCUGCAGGUGCACGGAAUCAGGGAUGGGAAGAGGACUGCGGUGGUAGUAGAAAACAUAGAGGUGGGGGUUAGCCAAAUCUCUAGUACUCUGGAGGAAGUGAACCAACGCAUGAUAGAGAAUUUUAUGAUACAAAACCAAUCUGCUUGGUGUGGAGUACCUGCACUUCCGGAGGUUAUAGUUGGAUUGAAAGCUCCAUUGGAGAAAUUGAAGACCGAGCUUCUUGGGAAUGAAGAAUUCUCAAUGCUUGUGCUCACUGCUCCGGGUGGAUGUGGGAAAACUACCUUGGCAACAAAGUUUUGCACAGAUCAGGAAGUCAAAGGUAUUUACUUAGCUUCUCCUAGUGAUCCAACUUAUGGUGUGCUUGUGUUUUUUCUCAUUGUGCUUGUUUGUUCCUGAUUUGAUCUUCUCAGCUUUUUAGACGAUAUUUUGAUUAACGACAUUCUUAUGUUUUUCAUAGAUAAAUUCGGUGAAAAUAUCUACUUUGUCACUGUUACCAAGAAGUAUAGCUUAGAUUCAAUUGUAGAACAACUAUAUCGAAGCAAGGGUUGUCAAGUUCCUACUUUCCAAAACGAAGUGAAUGCAGUUCAAGGGCUGCAACAGUUUUUAAAGGAUGAAGGAGGGAAACCCUUACUGUUGGUCUUGGAUGAUGUUUGGUCCGGAUCAGAUUCUCUUCUUUGCAAAUUUGAUUGCAAAAUGGCAAAAAUGAAGAUUCUGGUGACAUCAAGAUCUGAAUUUCGAGCAUUCUGUCCUCCAUAUUGUCUAGAAAUGUUGGGUUGUGACGAUGCAAUGAAACUUUUUCAUCAUUCAGCAUCCUUGGGAGAUAAGAGCUCUCAUAUUCCACCAAAGCUUGCCAGAAAGGUGAGGUGAUGUUUUAGUUGCAUUGUAGCAUGCUUGUCUUAUUAAUUAUAAUUAUUUGGAUCAUUCAAAAUAUAAUACUAUUCAACCAUAUUGUGUAUUGAGAUUAGUUUGAGAAACUUCAAUACUCAGAAUCUCAGAUAAUAAUCGUCUCUGAUCCUAUUGGAGUGUCCACAUUUUUGCAGAUAGUAGAGCGUUGUAAGGGAUUUCCACUUGCCAUUACAGUGGUGGGCAGAUCACUUUGUGCACAACCUAUAGAGAUGUGGCAAGACAGACUAAAUCAAUGGUCUAAAGGUUCAUCUAUUUUUGAUUAUGAGACUGAUUUACUUCUUUCCCUCCGAAGGAGCUUGGAUGCUUUGGACACGGAAAGGGCUAUCAUCAAACAAUGCUUCUUGGACCUUGGUUCAUUUCCUGAAGACAAGAGAAUCCCUGUUAAUGCCCUUAUUGAUAUAUGGUCCGAGUUACAUGAUACGCAUGAAGAUACUUCGUGUAUUGCAGCCCUCUGCGAACUCAACAACCGGAGCCUGGCUAAUCUUACAGACAAUAGGUAAUUAUGCAUAUAUGUUUCUGUUGUGCGAUAUGUUUAGCCUGUAGCUGCUGCUAUAACUAGCUAUAUGUAUUUUUGUAUGAGGAAUUACUUAAUUAGUUUUGAUCAUAUUAACCAGGACGGGGAAAUUGGAUGGGGAAGGAUAUUAUGGUGACCACUAUGUCACCCAACAUGAUUUGCUUAGGGAGCUGGCUAUUUAUCACUCGAAGCUAGAAUCAGCAGAGCUUAGAGAAAGAUUGUUCAUAGACAUAUGUGGAAGCAAUCUUCCCAAGUGGUGGAGGGAACAAAAGUAUCAAGCUUUGAAAGCUCGCCUUCUAUCUAUAUCAACUGGUUGUCCCAUUUUUCCGUUACUGUUCUUAAGCAAUAUGUUCACUAGAUUCAAUUCACUUGCAUCUAAUAGCAUUUUGUUUGUAGAUGGAGAGUCUGCAACUUUGAAAUGGCCAAACAUGCAUCUGCCAGAAACAGAGGUACUAGUGUUGAAUUUGCGGGAGACAAAGAAGUAUGCUAUACCCGAAUUUGUGGAGAAAAUGGAGAAUUUGAAGGUACUAGUAAUCACAAAUGAGCAUAUCUGGAAAUGUAAGUUGACCAAUCCUCAACUAUUAAGUUGGUUUUCCAAUCUAAAGAGAAUGAGAUUAGAGGGCCUCUCAUUAUCAUCCAUAUUCAACUCCAUACAAGUGAAGAGUCUACGGAAGUUGUCUUUGAUCAAAUGCGAUUCUGAAUCAGAAAAGUUUUCCCAUGCUUUUCCAAAUCUUGAAGAGAUGUACAUGGACCAAACUGCUAUUUGGAAGCCAUUAUUUCGCGGGUUAUGUGAUCUGAUUUCCCUAAAGAAGCUCACCAUCUGCCGGCCAGCUUGGAUACAAGUUCCUGACGAGAUUGGAAAUUUGGUCAAUUUAGAAGAAUUGAGGUUGAUGGAAACGUCACAGCCUUCAGAGUUUCCAGACUCGAUCAGGAACCUCAAAAAGUUGAACACUCUUUGCAUAUUGGAUUGCUUCGUCUUGAAAGAGUUACCUGAAUGUAUUGGUGAAAUAAGGAGUCUAAGAAAGAUAGACACGAGGGGUUGCUACAGGCUCAAGAAGCUGCCGCUAUCAGUAUUGGAUUUGAAGCAGUUAGAGGAGGUGAUAUUUGAUGAAUAUUCCGAAAGAGUAUGGCUACCCCUGUUGCCCAGUCUCAGAGACAAAAACAGAGACAUACGCAUUGUUGUUGCUGCGGUCACUGAUUGCAGAAGAGAGCAUUUAAAGGUUGAACAGAGGAGAAUAGACUUUCUAAAGCGUCUAAAAAUGGCUGGUGGUGUGCGAUAGGCCGCGUUUGAGUUCAUCAAAUGUGAGCUAUGAUGAUGUGGCGCGUUGCUGUCCACAGAAUUUGAGUUUGAAGGGCAGUGAAGUAAUUACACAGUUAACAUCCGUUAAAACUCAUCAGUCAGCUGUUAGAGGUCACUUUCAAAUGGACCACCGCUCACCUUGAUAUGGCCCACGCUCACUUUCCAGGGCGUGAGGAACACGUCCAACGUGAAUUAACCCCAGUCGUGAGGCAUGAUGCAACCCUAAAGGAGAUGGAUCUCAUGGUUUGGUGCAGUCUCAGCACAAAUCAGGAACAGAGGUUUUGGGUUCCCGAUGAGUUUUGAGCCGAAGGGCAAGGAGACGAUCUCCAAUGAUGUGAAACCGCUCCCAAAUCCACCGCCUCUCUUCCCUCUCCAAGUCCCUAAUCUCCAGUCUGGAAGCGCGAGAUAGUCGGCCACACUCUCAGAAAGCCCUCGGUCAACAUAGCUCAGCAGGAAUGGUUCGAUAUGCUGCCGCCGCGGACCUACGACGAGGAGUAGUUGCUCAACAAGCACUCCAGGCUCGGCGUCCUCUCUAAUGAGCUCCAAGCCCUGGGACAUUCCGUAAGAUUAUUAUUAUUUAUUUAUUUUAUUUUUUUGAAUAAUGUGUUGAAUUGAAGAGGAAUUGAAAUGGAGGCUAGGGCUUUAUUGUGUUGCUUUUGG